rfam:Dipodomys ordii contig_70396, whole genome shotgun sequence.
GGUGACUCAGUGGUAGAGCACUUGCCUCGCAUGCAUGAGGCCCUGAGUUCAAUUACUCAGCACCA